GAUGAACGCUGGCGGCGUGCCUAAUACAUGCAAGUCGAGCGAACGGACGAGAAGCUUGCUUCUCUGAUGUUAGCGGCGGACGGGUGAGUAACACGUGGAUAACCUACCUAUAAGACUGGGAUAACUUCGGGAAACCGGAGCUAAUACCGGAUGAUAUUUUGAACCGCAUGGUUCAAAAGUGAAAGACGGUCUUGGUGUCACUUAUAGAUGGAUCCGCGCUGCAUUAGCUAGUUGGUAAGGUAACGGCUUACCAAGGCAACGAUGCAUAGCCGACCUGAGAGGGUGAUCGGCCACACUGGAACUGAGACACGGUCCAGACUCCUACGGGAGGCAGCAGUAGGGAAUCUUCCGCAAUGGGCGAAAGCCUGACGGAGCAACGCCGCGUGAGUGAUGAAGGUCUUCGGAUCGUAAAACUCUGUUAUUAGGGAAGAACAUAUGUGUAAGUAACUGUGCACAUCUUGACGGUACCUAAUCAGAAAGCCACGGCUAACUACGUG
rnacentral:rRNA from 1 species